UCAAGUGUGCCCUGUUCGCCA
rnacentral:misc_RNA from 1 species